GGGGCGAUAUAGGGUUUUUAAUUGUAAGGUCGCAGUGAGGUCAAUCCACAAAAGACACCCGUGGUCUAAAGCUGCCAUGAAUAAGCCAACACUCACAGGGGCUUGGCUUUUGGAGGGAUCAAUGCUCUAAUCCACUGAAACUUAGAAGAGUGACCCUGGUUGGUCUUUUGGCACCAAGCGGGCGGAGAGAGCCGGACUCGCUGGCUGGCAGCCAAUUUGCUUCAUAGAUGAAGAGCGGAUGGGUGCCAAGGAGCUGGCUGCUGCUGUUGUCGGCGCAGUGUUUCAUGUAGGCUCCAAAAUGCACCGUUUCUCUACGCCGCCGAGCAGCAAAAAGGGUAAUUACUCGGUGCUGCCAUCUUGACGCUGCAUGUUCAACGGUCAACGGGGAGUCUCUUGUUGUCUGAGGGAACCUCACACCCCAAUCGAGGCCGGCUUAAAAAACGGAUCCCCCAGCGUGUGUGGAAAGUUCCAAUUAUAACCGGCUAUGCUAGCUUUUCAGUCAAGAACUGCAUGGAUGGAGGUGGUGGGUGGGUGGUCCUGUGGAUACCAGAGGAGAAUGACAAAGGGGGUCAUCACUGGCUCACCCAAUUACCCCAAAAAAAGAGUCAGAGGGUGGAAAGAAAGAAUCCAUCAAACACACAAUUAUGGAGGACAUGGGACUGCCGACGGACAGCCUUGUGUCAGGCUGGGUGAGAUGCACCCACGCUCCGCAGUUGUACAGAAGGACGACUACAAUGCAGGAUGGUUCAGCCCCCGUCUGGCUGUUAAGAUGCAUAGUGAAACGGGGUCAGGGCGGAGGAGUGGCCGGUUUCUGACGGCGUUUAGUAAACGCUAAUGAUUGUGAUCCCUUCGAUUAGGAAUGCGACUCAAAUGUAUUUAUUUGUGGUGACUGAUUGAUGCAAUAUCAUUGUUGUAAAGUGUGAUACUCGUGAUUUAAAAAUAUAAAACGCCGCCUUUUUGUAAACCCGAGCAGUUCAGAGUGCAAGCCUUAAGAACGGAGUUGCAUAUGAGAGCGUUUCACUUGUACAUUAUUGAAGCUUCAAAUAUCCUCAAUGGCUUCCUGGUUCUCUUUGCUGCUUCAGCAUUCAUUUUAAGUGUGGGAUAA